rnacentral:rRNA from 1 species
UACGUAGGGUGCAAGCGUUGUCCGGAAUUAUUGGGCGUAAAGAGCUCGUAGGCGGUCUGUCGCGUCUGGUGUGAAAACUCAGGGCUUAACCCUGAGCUUGCAUCGGGUACGGGCAGACUAGAGUGUGCUAGGGGAGACUGGAAUUCCUGGUGUAGCGGUGAAAUGCGCAGAUAUCAGGAGGAACACCGGUGGCGAAGGCGGGUCUCUGGGGCAUAACUGACGCUGAGGAGCGAAAAGCAUGGGGAGCGAACAGG